rnacentral:siRNA from 1 species
ACAGCCACAAUCGCCGCUCCAAUA